rnacentral:rRNA from 1 species
GACGAACGCUGGCGGCGUGCUUAACACAUGCAAGUCGAACGGAAAGGCCCUGCUUUUGUGGGGUGCUCGAGUGGCGAACGGGUGAGUAACACGUGAGUAACCUGCCCUUGACUUUGGGAUAACUUCAGGAAACUGGGGCUAAUACCGGAUAGGAGCUCCUGCUGCAUGGUGGGGGUUGGAAAGUUUCGGCGGUUGGGGAUGGACUCGCGGCUUAUCAGCUUGUUGGUGGGGUAGUGGCUUACCAAGGCUUUGACGGGUAGCCGGCCUGAGAGGGUGACCGGCAAAAUUGGGACGGAGACACGGCCGGGAGUCUGACGGAGGCAGCAGUGGGGAAUAUUGCACAAUGGGCGGAAGCCUGAUGCAGCAACGCCGCGUGCGGGAUGACGGCCUUCGGGUUGUAAACCGCUUUCGCCUGUGACGAAGCGUGAGUGACGGUAAUGGGUAAAGAAGCACCGGCUAACUACGUG